GUUAUUAUGUAUAUUAAUAUAUGUAUAUUAAUGUAUUAUAUGUAUAUUGAAGUAUGUAUAUUGAAGUUGUCAAGUUGACAUAAGAUAUAGGUUAGGUUAGGAGGAGCCGGAAGGCGGGAACAAAAAUGCCAAAAUUUUAAAAUCAUAAUAUGCGUAAUGGAGCAUCGCGCAGCUCGCAUGGUAAAGGUAAAAAUUUAAGGUGGGAUCCCUAGAUCCAAGUUAACCGAUAACCUAAAAAUUUAGUAAAAAAGUAAAAAUUUUGAUUGGAAAAAAAUGCAUCGAUAAGGGGGUGUGGGAAAUGGAAAUUAGUGGCUUUUUUGCUGUACUGUCUGCUAGUUUUUGCUCUGGGCACUGGCUAGAUCUCUUGUUUAAACAAUUUUAAUCAGCUGAAAGUGGCCUACAAAAAAAAACCAAGAAGGAAAUGUAUAGCCUUGUGGCUAUGAAAGACAAAAGAGAGAUAUAAAAAGUGUAUUGGCUAGUUGGAAGAAAGUCCACAUUGUCCAUGCAUAAUAAGUUAUUACAUUAUCAACAAAUAUCAAGAAGAUAGCAGGGUCACGAGCAUCAACUUCAUGAGUUCAAGAAUAUCGAGGAAAUCCAGCUCCUCGAUACUACUGGGCAAACUAGAAGAUUGAAGAGGACAAAUCCUUUUGAACUAGUUUGAGUGAUAGGUGAUAGUGAAAAACAGAGCAUAGUGCUUGUGUGCUGUGCCUGUGUAUGUUAGAAUAGUGCACGAUCUUGUUAGAUUAGAUAAGAGACGCUAUGGGGUAAGCUCUUCAUUUUAAGAAACAGUAGUAAUUUAGGUUAAAUUAAAAUUGCUCAUUGGUCAGUUAUGACCAGAUUGUUUUUUUAUGUUUGGCAAAAAGGACUUAAGUCAGAAUUGCACAUUGAUAAUGUUUUGAUGAUUUCUGGACCAGAAAAAAACUGUUGUAGAUGUAAACUGUAUGUACAGUAGAAUCUACUACAGUACUGUAGAAAUCAUCAAAAUAUUAUCGAUGUGCAAUUCUGACUUAAGCCCUUUUUCCCAAACAUCAGAGAAUUGUAAUGUACAAUAAUUCUCCUAUCUGCUUUUUCAUGAAUUUUGUAGGAGACGAAAAACCAUUUUUAGGAUCAUCUGCUUUCACAUGUUUUGUAGUAAAUAGAUAGUUGAAUUUACUACAAAACAUGUCAAAAAAUAUAUGAAAACAGGAGGUGACUAUAAAAAAAGUUUUUAGUCUCUCUUACAAAACUCAUGAAAAAACAAAUCGGAGGUAUGUCACAUCAGUGACUAAGAAUGUCUAAAAAAUAUACUUUGAUGUCCCAAGAACCAAAUAUAACCUACAGUCCAUCUAAUUUACUUACUGUUGCACGUCAUUAUCUACGCCAGAGAUCUAGUUGACAUAGUUGCCAAAGUAUAAAAAGAUCCUGAAUCCAUUUUAAAUCAAAUAUGUCACAUAAUUAUUGUAAACGUGGAUUAUACAACAAAACAAAUUAAUAUUCAAUGUAAAUAAGUAAAAACUUAAGAAAUAGAGAACAAGAAUUAAGUUAUAAUCUUUUAAGAUUUGCAGUGCAAGAGUUUUUGCACUGCAUUGUUAAUAAUUAAAAAACGGCUCCGAACUCUUGGCAAAAAGCCGGUAGGUUUCUUUGUAUAAGUAUGUCUACAAUAACAACUAAAAAAGUUGUCAGAUACCUCGAUUAUUCCAAGUCGUUAUAAAAUUAGGUGAAAUUUAUAUUUUUAUAGUAGAGGAUCUUUUUAUAGUAAAGUAAAUAAUAAAAACAGUAAAUAUAAUAAAUAAAACAGAUACUUAUAGUAAAGAAUAUAAACAAAUAUGAAGUGUCAUCACCGUAACUGUCAAAUAAAUGUUACCAAUUUAUUCUAAAAUGUCACCUUCGUUCGAUUACAGUUACAGUGUGAUCCGAACAAAUCUGCUUCAUAAAAACGCUUUAUAAUCCAUUUAUACAAAUUAAAUGAAACAUAUUAUUGUGUAUUUCUGUAGGUUAACAUUAAUAGAAAUCUUCAAAUAUUAUUUCUACGCAUAUAUAAUAAAAUAUGUCUAGUGGCUGUAAUUCCAGUGUACUCGGCAAAGUGAUUCUAAAAAAGAACACACCUACCGCCUAAAUAUUUCGUGUUGGUAUCAUGCAACCUCACAGGCUACGACGCGGAUGACGCGCAACAGUUAGUAAAUUAGACGAAGUAUGUAGAUAUAUACAGGGUGUAACAAAAAUACAGGUCAUAAAUUUAAUCACAUAUUCUGGGACCAAAAAUAGUUUGAUUGGACCUAACUUACCUUAGUACAAAUGUGCACACAAGAAAAGUUACAGCCCUUUGAAGUUAUAUAUAUAUAUAUAAUAGCACCAAGGGUCUUAGAGGCCCAUGGCUUGAAAAGUUUGUUUUUUUUCUUCAUUUUCACGUUUCUUUAUGUACUGAGAUCUUCUCUGGCUUGAUAUGUGAUUUUUCUCCAUUCCUUCCUGUUAUUCAUUUUUCUUUUCUGACCCUGUAGCACCAUUCUUUCCAAAUCUUUUUCGACCUCUUGCUUCCAUCUAUUUUUCGGCCUUCCUCUUCUCUUUCUUGAAGCUGUAGUGUAGUUUAGUACCAUUUUUGGAGUCCUCGUGUUUGGCAUCCUUUCAAUGUGACCUCGCCAUCUAAGUCUCUGUGCCUUUAUCAUUCAUUUGAAGUUACAAGAUGAAGUGAUUUUUUCCAAUAUAUCGAAAACUAUUAGAGAUUUUUUAUUGAAAAUGGACAUGUGGCAUUAUUAUGGCAGCA
rnacentral:lncRNA from 1 species